GACGAACGCUGGCGGCGUGCUUAACACAUGCAAGUCGAACGGAGCGAAUGAAAGCUUGCUUUUAUGAGCUUAGUGGCAAACGGGUGAGUAACACGUAGACAACCUGCCGACAGGAUGGGGACAACAUUCCGAAAGGAAUGCUAAUACCGAAUGAAGCGGAGGAGAGGCAUCUCUCUUCCGUGAAAGAUGGCCUCUAUUUAUAAGCUAUCACCUGUCGAUGGGUCUGCGUCUGAUUAGCUGGUUGGUGAGGUAACGGCUCACCAAGGCGACGAUCAGUAGCCGGUCUGAGAGGAUGAACGGCCACAUUGGGACUGAGACACGGCCCAGACUCCUACGGGAGGCAGCAGUGGGGAAUCUUCCGCAAUGGGCGCAAGCCUGACGGAGCAACGCCGCGUGAGUGAAGAAGGUCUUCGGAUCGUAAAGCUCUGUUGACGGGGACGAACGUGCGAA
rnacentral:rRNA from 1 species